ACGACACAAUGACACUCUGUGGAGGAGAGGAACCACACCACACUAACUCACAACUCACAUUAGAAAUCUCUCAAUAAUCAUAACACCACAGUACACAGAGUCCACCAUGGCCACUACUGUAAAAUUAAUACUUCUAUUGAUUUAUAAAUUAUUCUAAUCCUUUUUCAAAACUAAUUGGGGGGUAAUUAUCUGCUCUCACUUUAGUUGUGUUUUUCUUGUUUCCCUUUCAGGACACACUUCAGCCCUGCUGUGGAUUCUCCCUCAGUCACUGGUGUAACUCCUCACAGACUCUCUCUUCUGAGAUUUGGAAAUUAAACUGGUGUUCCUUCUCUCCACUCCACUAAGUCAAGACUCCAGUCCUCCUGACUCCUCUCUCUCUUUAGAACUCUUAUAUCCUGAGAUUUAACAACUCUCCUCUAAAACACAAUAAUGUGAACUACUUGGACAUGGUCAUCCAUCCUUUACCAGCAAGAGCAUCCGGUGUUUCUGCAUGAAUCUCAGUAAGUUUGGCAGACAUCUCAUCAUGGAUGGCAGCUCUUUAUCCUCAGCUGAAACUAAAUCUCAGCAAGUCUGUUCUGCUGUAUAUCACUAGAGAUGCAUCACUGAUGGAUUUGGUGAUUGUUGAGAAGAACUAUUGUGUAACAACAUCUGACAGAACAAUGAAACUUCGGGUAGUUUUAUAGAACUAGCUAACAUUCUCUCCUCAUAUCUCAUCACAUCUUUUUUUAUUGUCUUGGCCAAAAACUGAACAUCUGCAUCACUAUCAGGCUUCACACCAAGAACUUUAUUCAGUCACCAAGCGCUUAAAUAAACACUAAUAAAAACUUCAACUUGUGCUUGUUAUUUUCUUUCUGCACUAAUAUUAACUCCUCUCUAAUGGGAAUUUAGCUUCAUAAUAUUUUAUUGGUUUAUGAGGAUGUGUUUUAUUGUAAACCACCAAAGCACAUGUACGUCUGUAAGUCACUCUGGAUAAGGGGAUGUGCCCAGUGCUGUAGACGUAAGUAUACUUGAGAGACAGUGCAAUACUACUUAUUGUGCUGCGGUUCAGGUCUCGCUCCUGUUUGAUGGUUUAUUGAGUCAGGAAUCACGUA